rnacentral:rRNA from 1 species
AUUGAACGCUGGCGGCAGGCCUAACACAUGCAAGUCGAGCGAGCGGCGGACGGGUGAGUAAUGUAUGGGGAACUGCCUGAUGGAGGGGGAUAACUACUGGAAACGGUAGCUAAUACCGCAUACUAUCGGAUGUGCCCAUAUGGGAUUAGCUAGUAGGUGGGGUAAUGGCUCACCUAGGCGACGAUCCGUAGCGGGUCUGAGAGGAUGAUCAGCCACACGGGGACUGAGACACGGCCCAGACUCCUACGGGAGGCAGCAGUGGGGAAUAUUGGACAAUGGGCGCAAGCCUGAUGCAGCCAUGCCGCGUGUGUGAAGAAGGCCGUCGGGUUGUAAAGCACUUUCAGCGGGGAGGCGUUACCCGCAGAAGAAGCACCGGCUAACUCCGUGCCAGCAGCCGCGGUAAUAC